rnacentral:lncRNA from 1 species
AUUGAACAGAGGGUGUUUGAGGUACACUGGGUAUUGGACGAGAAGGGUGUUUUGAGGGUACACUGGGUAGUGAGACAGAGGGUUGUUGAGGGUAUACUGGGGUAUUUGGGACGAGGGUUGUGAGGGUUCUGGCUUGAGACAGAGGGUGUGUUGAGGUAUCUGGGUAUUGUGACAGAGGGUUGUUUAGGUAAUAACUGGGUAUUGAACAGAGGGUUGUUGGGGGUGAUAUCUGGGUAUUUGAGACGAGGGUGUUUGGAGGGUACCUGGGUAUGAGCAAGAGGGUGUUUGAGGGUACACUGGGUAUUGAGACAGAUGGUGUUUGAGGGUACAACUGGUAAUGAUGGUUUUUUGAGGGUUACACUGGGCAUUGUGACAGAGGGUUUUUGAGGGUACACUGGGUAUUGAGACAGAGGGUGUUUGAGGGUACACUGGGUAAUGAGGGUUUUUGAGGGUACACUGGGUAAUGAGACAGAGGUUGUUGCAGAUACGGGGGUAUUGAGACAGAGGGUUGUUGAGGGACAGGGUAUGGUUGACAGAGGUUGUGAGGGUAACACUGGGCAUUGUGACAGAGGGCUGUUGAGGGUACACGGGUAUUGAGACAGAGGGUUGUUUGAGGGUACACGGGGGUAUGGAGACAGAGGGUUGUUGAGGGUAUACUGGGGAGUGUGACAGAGGGUUUGUUGAGGGUAACUGGGUAGUGAGAACAGAGGGUGGGUGAGGGUACACUGGGAUUGAGACAGAGGGUGUUGGAGGGUACACUGGGUAUUGAGACAGAGGGUUUUGAGGGUACCGGGGUAAUUGAGACAGAGGUUGUUGAGGGUAUACUGGGUAUGUGACAGAGGGUUGUUGAGGGUAUACUGGUAAUUGAGACAGAGGGUUGUUGAGGUAACGGGGUAGUGUGACAAGGGUUGUUGAGGUAUACUGGGGAGGGUGACAGAGG